GCAACGACAAUUCUGGAAUUUUGUAUUCCUAGUCAGCCUUCUUAUGGAAGGUUACAUACAACAAACAGGUGCUCUACACAAAUAUCAUUGGGAUGCUACAAAAGCUGCAGUAUCUUGCGGAGCUGAAAUGUGUGUAUGUGAAGAUACAAGUAACAACCAAUGCGUCCGUAACUAUAUUAAGUGCUUUGCCAUCGAAAUGCUGGGCGACGUUAUUCCAGGCAAAGAAAUGGAAUGUAUCUUUGACAUAGUAGCGGCUGCUUUUAAUUAUAAUAAACAACAUGGAGGGGAAAUAAAGGAAGACAUGUUCUUGGAUAUUUUGAAAGCAGUUUUUAAAUGUGGCCUUCUUUGGACAAACAUACACAAGAUAAAAGGCUUUGCCAUGUUCUUUAAAAGUAUUUAUGAUCUUUAUGUCUGCAUCAAUAGCAAGAAAGAAUGGCAUGAACGGGAUAAAUAUUCUGAUUUUCCGCAUAAUUACCAUCCUUACAGAUAUAGCAAUGGGCCUUGUACUGUUAUGAUAGUAGACAUAAAUGGAAUGGUGUACUGCCCGACGGCCGACGCCCCAGAAUAAGAAGGGCGUAAGUGUUAGUUACGCCCUUUUAUGAAUCAUACAUUUUUUGAAACUACACACCAAGGGGCAUAAUUCUGUAAAAAAAAAAUUUUGUCACAAACUGCUGUGUUGACCAAAUUCAACAAUAAUAAAAGGGCGUAAGUAAAAAGUUUUUCAGAAUCCCAGUAAUAGAAGGGCGUAUCUACACUUAACUGUUGUACCAGAAAAGUCCACUUACGCCCUUAGAAUUAAAAGGGCGUAUGUGUCAUAGACAGUUUUUUUCAUUUUGCCGAAAACUAUGAUUUUCCACUUACGCCCUUCUAAUUCUGGGGCGUCGAAAAUUUUAAUUUAUUAUAGUCCAAGAGACAGAGGCCUUUUUGUUUACUUUUCUAACCCAAUCAAACUCUUUAUUUUAUUUGACAGCCAAUAAUAUGAAGUUUCAUGAAGUUGCCAGAAUGGGCGGAAACAUCAAAUUUUCAAGAUGGCUGCCAAUAUGGUCGCAAUUGUUUCUCAAAUUUCCGUUUGUUUUCUAAAGGAAACAUGUCUAUAUUAAAAUUAAUAAAAUUUAUCAUUAGAAUGGUUUUAUUGUAUAGAAAACAUCAUCUUCUAAAUGUCUUAGCCCUUUUAUUUCUAUUUUAUGUGUUUACUGUAAAAAAAAAGCCUAAAUAUGGGUAAAAAUAGUGCGGUUUUUUACGAUUUUUCACAAUUACACAACUUGUCAAUAUUUGUCAUUUCAAAAGCGUAUCGUAUGGAAUAAUUUUAUGGUAACAUCAUGUCUCUACUCGAACAUGUUGUAUAGUUUCUUGCCAGAGAUGCCAUGCUAAGCAGAAAAAAUAUGUUUGUUUACAUAAUAACCAACAGGCCCAACAUUUCUUUAACUUCCGUUAUGAUCCCCAUAUUACCUUGGCAUGACCAAAUGUGAAUUUUAAACCAGCAGAACAAGCUAGUCUAGUUAUGGUUCAGAUAGUAUAAACCGGCUAUGGAUCAUAAAAUUUAUGACAAUCCUAAUUUAAUCGUGAAAAUCCGGGAAGUAACUCUUUUUAAGAUAUGGGAAGAGUUAUUACAGAAUUUGCUUUUUUAUUCUUUGCAUGAUAAAAUAUUUUUGGAAUCAAUAUAUUUGUUUUCAAAUAAUUGGAAUUCACUACCUUAAAGACAAAAGAUUAACAAACUUUCGUUUUCUUUCAUUCUAAUAUUUGUUGAAAUUCUCUUAUUUAUUUUUCAUUGUUUCAAAAAGAAAAUCUGCAUUUGAUAAGUAAAAUCUGGAAAGUAGAUCUCUCGUAAGCACCGAGAACAAGGCAAAAAGUGAAAAUUGCAGACUCGGUUUGAUUGAGUCUGUUCACGAGCAGUAAUGGAAAAUGCAACACUGCCCAGGCCCUCAAGCACCGGCUUAAGCAGUAUUCAAUCUUCAAAUCUAAAUGAGUUGAAAGCCUUGUCUUCCAACUAGAUUUAGACACAUUGCUUAUUUGAUAUCGUAGUUAAGUUUAUCAUACGUCGGUAAACGAUGUUGUACAAAUACUAAAACAGAGCCCGUUUAUGAAACACUAGUUAUCUAGACUUUUUGAUGUAGAUAAAGUGAUAUGUUAUUACCCCACCCACAUCUCUUAAGUGUUAAAAUGGAAUGUUUUCCGAUUUAUGUCAUUUUAUAUUUAAAAGGUACUUUAAGUUGAUAGCAACUGAAAAUAUUAUGUAAUUACAUUGUGAUGUAAAGAUUUCAAAUGAGAUUUUCUGAAAAAAAAAGACGAAAGAAACCCAACAAAAACCGUUAAGUCUGUAAAAUAUGUACUCAAAAUCUCACACAUGAAAUUGUGACGUAAAGUAGAAGCUAAUCAUUUAUUUUGAUAUUACUAAAAUAUGAACUAAAAUAUGCUGAUAUUUUA